rnacentral:lncRNA from 1 species
GAGGUGCAGAAGUAGAUGUUAUGUUAGGGGAACUAGUACCCACAGGUAGGAAAGCUGAUGGGAAUUCUGGAAAAUUUGAAGGUCCAGUUGGUAAUGAGGAACUAAAACUGGGAAACUGCAAUGGCUGCUGCAUAGAUGAAAGCAUCGGCUGCUGCAUAGAUGAAGGCAUCGGCUGCUGCAUAGAUGAAGGCAUCGGCUGCUGCAUAGAUGAUGGCAUCGGCUGCUGCAUAGACGAUGGCAGUGGCUGCUGCAAAGAUGACGGCAUUGGCUGCUGCAUAGAUGAAGGCAUGGAUAAGCCAGGUGGAGGUCGAAACAAAGAUUGCUGGUGUAACUGAGGAAGCCCAUUUGGGGCACCAUAAUAUCCUUGCCAAUACAUUGGCAUAGCAAGCCCACCACCAUUUGCAUUUGGAGCAGGCGAAGAAGCUCCCCAUGACACUACAUUUCCUCCAGGUUGAUACAAAGGCCCUUGAAAGUUUGACCCUGGGUGUCCAAGCUGUGUUGUAUUAGGAUUAGGACUAGCAUCAGUCAAAGAUCCACUUACAGCUGGUAAACUUGUAGAUGUUGUGGCUAAGCGAGG